rnacentral:tRNA from 1 species
GGGCGAUUAGCUCAGCGGGAGAGCACUACCUUCACACGGUAGGGAUCACUGGUUCGAUCCCAGUAUCGCCCACCA